UACGUAGGGGGCAAGCGUUGUCCGGAAUCAUUGGGCGUAAAGAGCGUGUAGGCGGCUCGGUAAGUCCGCUGUGAAAACUCGAGGCUCAACCUCGAGACGCCGGUGGAAACCAUCAGACUAGAGUCCGGAAGAGGAGAGUGGAAUUCCUGGUGUAGCGGUGAAAUGCGCAGAUAUCAGGAAGAACACCCGUGGCUAAGGCGGCUCUCUAGUACGGUACUGACGCUGAGACGCGAAAGCGUGGGGAGCGAACAGG
rnacentral:rRNA from 1 species